UAGUUGCAAGGUAUAGACCCGAAACCCGGUGAUCUAGCCAUGGGCAGGUUGAAGGUUGGGUAACACUAACUGGAGGACCGAACCGACUAAUGUUGAAAAAUUAGCGGAUGACUUGUGGCUGGGGGUGAAAGGCCAAUCAAACCGGGAGAUAGCUGGUUCUCCCCGAAAGCUAUUUAGGUAGCGCCUCGUGAACUCAUCUUCGGGGGUAGAGCACUGUUUCGGCUAGGGGGCCAUCCCGGCUUACCAAACCGAUGCAAACUCCGAAUACCGAAGAAUGUUAUCACGGGAGACACACGGCGGGUGCUAACGUCCGUCGUGAAGAGGGAAACAACCCAGACCGCCAGCUAAGGUCCCAAAGUCAUGGUUAAGUGGGAAACGAUGUGGGAAGGCAUAGACAGCCAGGAUGUUGGCUUAGAAGCAGCCAUCAUUUAAAGAAAGCGUAAUAGCUCACUGGUCGAGUCGGCCUGCGCGGAAGAUGUAACGGGGCUAAACCAUGCACCGAAGCUGCGGCAGCGACGCUUAGGCGUUGUUGGGUAGGGGAGCGUUCUGUAAGCCGUUGAAGGUGGCCUGUGAGGGUUGCUGGAGGUAUCAGAAGUGCGAAUGCUGACAUAAGUAACGAUAAAGCGGGUGAAAAGCCCGCUCGCCGGAAGACCAAGGGUUCCUGUCCAACGUUAAUCGGGGCAGGGUGAGUCGACCCCUAAGGCGAGGCUGAAAAGCGUAGUCGAUGGGAAACAGGUUAAUAUUCCUGUACUCGGUGUUGCUGCGAAGGGGGGACGGAGAAGGCUAGGCUAGCCGGGCGACGGUUGUCCCGGUUUAAGCGUGUAGGGGGGUGUUCCUGGUAAAUCCGGAACGCUGUCAACCCUGAGGCGUGAUGACGAUGCACUACGGUGCAGAAGUAGUUGAUGCCAAGCUUCCAGGAAAAGCCUCUAAGCAUCAGGUAACACAGAAUCGUACCCCAAACCGACACAGGUGGUCAGGUAGAGAAUACCAAGGCGCUUGAGAGAACUCGGGUGAAGGANCUAGGCAAAAUGGUGCCGUAACUUCGGGAGAAGGCACGCUGGCGCGUAGGUGAAGUCCCUCGCGGAUGGAGCUGAAGCCAGUCGCAGAUACCAGCUGGCUGCAACUGUUUAAUAAAAACACAGCACUGUGCAAACACGAAAGUGGACGUAUACGGUGUGACGCCUGCCCGGUGCUGGAAGGUUAAUUGAUGGGGUCAGCCGCAAGGCGAAGCUCUUGAUCGAAGCCCCAGUAAACGGCGGCCGUAACUAUAACGGUCCUAAGGUAGCGAAAUUCCUUGUCGGGUAAGUUCCGACCUGCACGAAUGGCGUAAUGAUGGCCAGGCUGUCUCCACCCGAGACUCAGUGAAAUUGAACUCGCUGUGAAGAUGCAGUGUACCCGCGGCAAGACGGAAAGACCCCGUGAACCUUUACUAUAGCUUGACACUGAACAUUGAGCCUUGAUGUGUAGGAUAGGUGGGAGGCUUUGAAGCGUGGACGCCAGUCUGCGUGGAGCCAACCUUGAAAUACCACCCUUUAAUGUUUGAUGUUCUAACUCGGCCCCAUAAUCUGGGGUGAGGACAGUGUCUGGUGGGUAGUUUGACUGGGGCGGUCUCCUCCCAAAGAGUAACGGAGGAGCACGAAGGUUAGCUAAUCACGGUCGGACAUCGUGAGGUUAGUGCAAAGGCAUAAGCUAGCUUGACUGCGAGAGUGACGGCUCGAGCAGGUACGAAAGUAGGUCUUAGUGAUCCGGUGGUUCUGAAUGGAAGGGCCAUCGCUCAACGGAUAAAAGGUACUCCGGGGAUAACAGGCUGAUACCGCCCAAGAGUUCAUAUCGACGGCGGUGUUUGGCACCUCGAUGUCGGCUCAUCACAUCCUGGGGCUGAAGUAGGUCCCAAGGGUAUGGCUGUUCGCCAUUUAAAGUGGUACGCGAGCUGGGUUUAGAACGUCGUGAGACAGUUCGGUCCCUAUCUGCCGUGGGCGUUGGAAGAUUGAGAGGGGUUGCUCCUAGUACGAGAGGACCGGAGUGAACGCACCACUGGUGUUCGGGUUGUCAUGCCAAUGGCACUGCCCGGUAGCUAAGUGCGGAAAAGAUAAGCGCUGAAAGCAUCUAAGCGCGAAACUUGCCUCGAGAUGAGUCUUCCCUGGACCUUUAAGGUCCCUGAAGGAACGUUUAAGACUAAGACGUUGAUAGGCUGGGUGUGUAAGUGCAGCGAUGCAUUGAGCUAACCAGUACUAAUGAUCCGUGAGGCUUAACCUU
rnacentral:rRNA from 1 species